CCUGGCUCAGGAUGAACGCUGGCGGUAUGCUUAAUACAUGCAAGUCGAACGAUGAAGCUCUUCGGAGUGAAUUAGUGGCGAACGGGUGAGUAACGCGUAGGAAUCUACCUUAUAGUUGGGGAUAACCCGGGGAAACUCGGACUAAUACCGAAUAAUCUCUUCGGAGGAAAGGCACUUGUGUCGCUAUUAGAUGAGCCUGCGUAAGAUUAGCUUGUUGGUGAGGUAAAGGCUCACCAAGGCAACGAUCUUUAGCUGGUCUGAGAGGACGAUCAGCCACAUUGGGAACUGAGACACGGCCCAGACUCCUUCCGGAGGAGAGGAUGAUCAGCCACACUGGGACUGAGACACGGCCCAGACUCCUACGGGAGGCAAGGGGAAUUUUCCGCAAUGGGCGAAAGCCUGACGGAGCAACGCCGCGUGAGGGACGAGGGAAUAUUGCACAAUGGGGGAAACCCUGAAAUACCGCGUGGAUGAUGAAGGCCUUCGGGUUGUAAAGUCCUGUCCUAGGGGAGGAAUAAUGACAGUACCCUAGAAGAAAGCACCGGCUAACUCCGUGCCAGCAGCCGCGGUAAUACGGGGGGUGCAAGCAAUAAUCGGAAUUAUUGGGCGUAAAGCGUACGUAGGCGGUUUAUUAGGUCAUAUGUGAAAGCCCUGGGCUCAACCUAGGAAUUGCAUAUGAAACCAAUAGUCUAGAGUACUAUAGAGGUAAGUGGAAUUUCUCGUGUAGCGGUGAAAUGCGUAGAUAUGAGAAGGAACAUCAGUGGCGAAGGCGACUUACUGGAUAGAUACUGACGCUGAUGUACGAAAGCGUGGGGAGCGAACCGGAUUAGAUACCCGGGUAGUCCACGCCGUAAACGAUGAGAACUAGCUGUUAGGUCGUAGACUUAGUGGCACAGCUAACGCGUUAAGUUCUCCGCCUGGGGAGUACGGUCGCAAGACUAAAACUCAAAGGAAUUGACGGGGGCCC
rnacentral:rRNA from 1 species